AGCGAACGCUGGCGGCAGGCCUAACACAUGCAAGUCGAACGAACCCUUCGGGGUUAGUGGCGCACGGGUGCGUAACGCGUGGGAAUCUGCCCUUGGGUUCGGAACAACAGUUGGAAACGACUGCUAAUACCGGAUGAUGACUUCGGUCCAAAGAUUUAUCGCCCAGGGAUGAGCCCGCGUAGGAUUAGCUUGUUGGUGAGGUAAAAGCUCACCAAGGCGACGAUCCUUAGCUGGUCUGAGAGGAUGAUCAGCCACACUGGGACUGAGGCACGGCCCAGACUCCUACGGGAGGCAGCAGGGGGGAAUAUUGGACAAUGGGCGAAAGCCUGAUCCAGCAAUGCCGCGUGAGUGAUGAAGGCCUUAGGGUUGUAAAGCUCUUUUACCCGGGAUGAUAAUGACAGUACCGGGAGAAUAAGCCCCGGCUAACUCCGUGCCAGCCGCCGCGGUAACAC
rnacentral:rRNA from 1 species